rnacentral:pre_miRNA from 1 species
AAAGGAAUAGCUGGGUUAAAUGGUGGUUCCAUUCCCAGAUUUCCAAGGAAUCUCCAUACUGCUUUCCAAAUUGGCUGCACCAAUUUGCAAUCCCACCAGCAAU